CGAAUGUAACUUAAGUACACGUCUGUGAUCCCUGCUGAAGUAGGGCUGUUCUGUGGCAGCAGGAUUUGGCCUUCAGCAUUCAUGGUGUAUCAACCACAACUGUGUGGAUGACUGGUUGGGAAAUUCUAUCCACCAGUGCAUUAAAAAGCCUUGCAACCUCGCUGUAUUCCCACUGACUUUGUAAGAGGGUUUACCAAGUAUGUGUUCAGCACCACUGGAGUAAUACAAUAACAAAAAAGAGCUUGCUACUUUCAUCUGCCUUCCUGCAUUUGUACAGCAUUAAGAAAAUGACAUUCAGCAAUGACAAAUGACUCUUAAUCUCAUUGGAGAUUUUAAAAGGAUUAGCAUCAGACCAAAUGGGGUUUAAAAGAACAUGAGGUGGACAAAAACAGUCCCUCAGAGUUUUUCCAACAUUUAUGCAGAAGACCAUAUUACGUGAUAGAACAUGUAAAGCUUUCUGAUCCAGCUGACUGAAGGCAUUAUACUCAAGGGAAAAACCAUGUUUGUAUUAGAAUAAAAAUUUUUAAAAAUCAAGAGAAAUAUAAUAAUAAAAACAAUUUAAACCGACGUUAAAGUUGUGGACGUGGUGGACAAAACUACUAUUUCAAACUAUGGCUGAGCUCCUCUGUUUUUGUACAUUUGCUCCUGCCUAGUUUCCAAGUGCCCUACGUUUUCAGUGGAACAGUUUGCUCAGGAGCAUUAGCAGUGCCAAGCAGGGGAUUUUCAGAAGCAUCCAACAGACUUCAGAGACUGACAUCUUUGAACGAGCUACAGAUGUCUGUCUUUUUUGCGGUGAAAUGUUUGGUUCCAGGAACAUUUUUCUUAGCUAAACUCUUGGUCUACUGACAAACAUCUGCCAUCGGACUUCUGUCCUCUGACUCUGUGGCGUUUUGGAAGUUGAACAUUCAGAAAAGGAUACGGAAAGGGGAGGAAAGUUUCACCUGUGCCGUUAGUUGUAGGUGACCUCAGGCACGUCUGUGAAGCCACAAGGCAGUGCUCAAGCUGCAUUUGUGGGCUGGAGGACAAUAGCUUUUUGUUGGCAGUUACUGCUGGGUUGUGUGAUCUUUUCAUUUGUUUCUCAAUAGAAAGUGAAGAGAAACCUUCCCAUAAGAGCCCAACAACGGAUGGCAGCAAACAGAACUACUCUGCUAAAAGAAAAAAAAAAAAACAACACCACAAAACCCAACAACAUUCCUAACAAUCAUGACAAAUGCAAAACAAUCCUAACCAUUCCUGGUUUUUAUACCACACAAAUCGAGAGUCUUCCUAACAGCUGCGUAUAAAAAAAAUAUUAAAUAAAUCAAGAUUCAUUUGAUGGUUCUGCACCAUUCCAGAAACCAUCUUAUUUCUCACACAUCCGUUCCUCUGGCUUUCAUCUUUCUCUUCUAUCUUUAACAUCAAAGACAUCUCAGAGACAAGUGGGAGUGGAUGUGAAGAGGGAUGAAGGAAGCAAAGAGUUGUCACAGGGAUGGUGCUAGCUCUUCUGUCUUUUCAGGACGCUUACACCGGGAUUUUCCCGCUCAGCUGUUUCAAUGGUAAACAUAAAGACACAAAACCAGUCCUUCAGAAUUGCAUGACAGAGGAAGGACCUCUUCCUCAUUUAAGGAUCUAAUUACAGAUAUGCAUUUGGCUUGGGAAGCAUGAGAUGCAAGAAGACUUCAAAGGUGACACAGUAUGAAAGAGAGAUAGAAAACAGACCUAAUCCACAGACUAGAAAAAAAUCAAUGAAAAGGCUUCCAGCAAUUUUAAUGGGGCAAAUUUCAUCACGCUUUCAUGUUUGGUUUGUGAAUGAGGUUAUAGUAGAAUUUUAACUUGUAUUUUCCCUAGAACAUUCAUAUAUCCUUCAUUUAACAUGUAAAUUACUUUCUGAACCUUGUAUCAAAUAUUUAUAAAUGCUAAACAAGGUAAAAUGCGAAACCCUUUUGGGAAAGUGGAGUGGAGGGAGGUUUAGCUGCACUAAUGGAUAUUGCAUUAAUGCUUACCAUCAAGGAAGCCUGACUGCCAUUAACAAGAAAUCUCAUUACAAACAUGAUUUCACGCCUCAUAACAUAUCCUGUGGAUCUAUUUACUGUCCAUCUCUCUCUUUUAAACAUACAAACACAUGAAGAUAACUAUGGAUGAAAAGUCCAAAAUAUAUUUCAUAUCCUUAACCUUUUUUUUCUUUUUUUUCCCACAUAG
ensembl:lncRNA